rnacentral:rRNA from 1 species
UACGUAGGUGGCAAGCGUUUGUCCGGAAUUAUUGGGCGUAAAGCGCGCGCAGGCGGCCUCUUAAGUCUGAUGUGAAAGCCCCCGGCUCAACCGGGGAGGGCCAUUGGAAACUGGGAGGCUUGAGUAUAGGAGAGAAGAGUGGAAUUCCACGUGUAGCGGUGAAAUGCGUAGAGAUGUGGAGGAACACCGAUGGCGAAGGCAGCCCCCUGGGCUGAGAUUGACGCUCAGGCACGAAAGCGUGGGGAGCAAACAGG